GACGAACGCUGGCGGCGUGCUUAACACAUGCAAGUCGAACGGAAAGGCCCUGCUUUUGUGGGGUGCUCGAGUGGCGAACGGGUGAGUAACACGUGAGUAACCUGCCCUUGACUUUGGGAUAACUUCAGGAAACUGGGGCUAAUACCGGAUAGGAGCUCCUGCUGCAUGGUGGGGGUUGGAAAGUUUCGGCGGUUGGGGAUGGACUCGCGGCUUAUCAGCUUGUUGGUGGGGUAGUGGCUUACCAAGGCUUUGACGGGUAGCCGGCCUGAGAGGGUGACCGGCCACAUUGGGACGGGGAUACGGCCCGGACUCCUACGGGAGGCAGCAGUGGGGAAUAUUGCACAAUGGGAGGAAGCCUGAUGCAGCCACGCCGCGUGCGGGAUGACGGCCUUCGGGUUGUAAACCGCUUUCGCCUGUGACGAAGCGUGAGUGACGGUAAUGGGUAAAGAAGCACCGGCUAACUACGUG
rnacentral:rRNA from 1 species